rnacentral:rRNA from 1 species
AGAGUUUGAUUAUGGCUCAGGAUGAACGCUGGCGGUGUGCUUAAGCAUGCAAGUCGAGCGGUCCAGCAAUGGAAGCGCAGACGGGUGAGUAAUGCAUAGGAAUCUACCUCAAAGUGGGGAACAGCUCGCCGAGAGGGUAAUACCGCAUGUGAUCGCAAGAUCAAAGCCGCAACGUUUGAGAGGAGCCUAUGUCCUAUCAGGUAGUUGGUGGGGUAAAAGCCUACCAAGCCUAUGACGGGUAGCCGGUGUGAGAGCAUGACCGGCCACAAGGUCACUGAGACACGGGACCUACACCUACGGGUGGCAGCAACUGGGAAUCUUGCGCAAUGGGCGAAAGCCUGACGCAGCGACACCGCGUGUGGGAAGAAGGCCGUCGGGUUGUCUAACCACUGUGGCGAGGGAUGACUUCGACAGUACCUCGCUAGAAAGCACCUGCUAACCACGUGCCAGAAGCCUCGGUAAUACGUGGGGUGCAAGCGUUAUCCGGAUUUACUGGGCGUAAAGCGUACCGUCGGCGUCUUGGCAAGUCUUCCGUUUAAGCCUGGGCUCAACUUCAGACCAGCGGAGGAAACUAUCAAGAUUGAGUUUGUUCGGGGGAACUAGAAUUCUCGGUGGAGGGGUGAAAUCCGUAGAUAUCGAGAGGAAUACCAGUCGCGAAGCGGUUCCUAGAACAAUACUGACGCUCAUGGACGAAAGUCUGGGUAGCAAAAGGGAUUAGAGACCCCUGUAGUCCAGACCGUAAACACUCCUUGCUAGCUGGGCGCUUUGCAGAUAUCAGAUGUUUUAGCAUCCGAUAUCCGCUAAGUGGCCGGCGUUAACGUAACGCGUUAAGCAAGGCGCCUGGGAAGUACGGCGCAAGGCUAAAACUCAAAGGAAUUGACGGGGGAGCGCACAACCGGUGGAGCAUGUGGUUUAAUUCGAUACAAAGCGAAAAACCUUACCUGGGUUUGACAUGUACCUGCACGGUCUAGGAAACUAGAUCUUCUUCGAGAGUGGUACACAGGUGAUGCAUGGCUGUCGUCAGCUCGUGUCGUGAGACGUUCGCUUAAGUGCGGUGACGAGCGCAACCCUUAUCUUCAGUUACAAGUGUCUGAAGAGACUGCCCUGAUUCUGUCAGGGAGGAAGGAGAGGACGACGUCAAGUCAGCACGUCCCUUACAUCCAGGGCUACACACAUCCUACAAUGGAGCCGACAACAGGUAGCAAGACCGCAAGGUGGAGCCAAUCCUUAAACGGCCCCUCAGUUCAGAUUGAGGCUGCAACCCGCCCUCGUGAAGUCGGAAUCGGUAGUAAUCGCAAAUCAGCAGGUUGCGGUGAAUACGUUCUCGCUCCUUGUACACACUGCCCGUCAAGCCAGCAAAGUCAGCAAACGAAGCGGGUGACCUAAACUCGCAAGAGAUAGGCUCUUCUACGGUGAGGUUGGCGAUGAGGACUAAGUCGUAACAAGGUAUCUGUACUGGAAGGUGCAGAUGGAUCACCUCCUU